rnacentral:lncRNA from 1 species
CCCCUUAAUUUCCACAGUGGGAAGGUGGGAAGCAUGGCUCUCUUCCUCUUCAACUCUUUGGGGCUUCCUGCCAAAAAGUGGAGCUGAGAUAGUAACUGGAGAUGCUCCCACCCUCUGCUUGCUUUAUGGAAAUUUUAAAGAACCCACUUCUGAACCUCGAAUUUUAGCAAAGACUUGGCAAGAUAGCUCUGGAAGAUAGCUCCAGCUCAGGAAGAAGACCCUGCAGCCCAUUUCCUUUCAAAAGGCAG